rnacentral:ribozyme from 13 species
GAGAAGAAGAAGAGAGAGAAGAAGAAGGAGAGAAAGAGAAAUGACUGUUAAAAUCAAUGUUUUCUUCAUUUGUUUUUUCAAAGUCUUCUCUGGUUAUUUUUUCAU